rnacentral:tRNA from 1 species
GGGCGCAUAGCUCAAGGGCAGAGCACUGUGCUGAUAACGCAGGGGUUCGUGGUUCGAAUCCACGUGCGCCCACCA